rnacentral:rRNA from 1 species
GCAAGUCGAACGAGAUCUUCGGGUGGAGCGGCGGACGGGUUAGUAACGCGUGGGAACAUACCCUUUUCUUCGGAAUAGCCUCGGGAAACUGAGAGUAAUACCGUAUACGCCCUUCGGGGGAAAGAUUUAUCGGUGAAGGAUUGGCCCGCGUUAGAUUAGAUAGUUGGUGGGGUAAUGGCCUACCAAGUCUACGAUCUAUAGCUGGUUUGAGAGGAUGAUC